GAUGAACGCUAGCGGCAGGCUUAAUACAUGCAAGUCGUGGGGCAGCAUGAAGUAGCAAUACUUUGAUGGCGACCGGCAAACGGGUGCGGAACACGUACACAACCUUCCUUUUAGUGGGGAAUAGCCCAGAGAAAUUUGGAUUAAUACCCCGUAACAUAGCGAUGAGGCAUCUCAUUGCUAUAAUAGCUUCGGCGCUAGAUGAUGGGUGUGCGUAUGAUUAGAUAGUUGGCGAGGUAACGGCUCACCAAGUCUACGAUCAUUAGCUGAUGUGAGAGCAGGAUCAGCCACACGGGCACUGAGACACGGGCCCAACUCCUACGGGAGGCAGCAGUAAGGAAUAUUGGUCAAUGGACGAAAGUCUGAACCAGCCAUGCCGCGUGAAGGAUUAAGGUCCUCUGGAUUGUAAACUUCUUUUAUAUGGGACGAAAAAAGGUCUUUCUAGAUCACUUGACGGUACCAUAUGAAUAAGCACCGGCUAACUCCGUGCCAGCCGCCGCAGUAA
rnacentral:rRNA from 1 species